UCACGGCCCUUGAUAUACCCGUCGUGAUGCACUGGCUGGAAUGAGAAAUAGCCCAGCGGGAAUGGAUCCUAGACCAACCGCGCAUCAAGCGAGCGUUUUACCAUUGGGUUACGUCGCGCUGCUGGAUAUAAGCAUCACCGUGUAGCAUCGUACACAGGAUAUUGCGAGCUCUGAAGCGAGGAGAACGUAAACAUGAACUCACCAAGAUGGACUUAACAACCUCGUCUGAAAACUGAACAGACUAUUGAACACAUGCGUGACAGUUGCACGUACUCAACAAAUAAGAUUUCUAACCUACAGAGACAUUUGAAAACUCACUCACCAAAAGAAACAAGUACUCCUGUCAAAUAAUUAAAAUUGGUAUCUAAAAUGUGCGAUCAGUGUGGAAAAUCUUUUCGAUCAAAGUUUGGACUGACAUUACAUGUAAAGAACAAACACACCUUUACCUAUAAGCACACCUGCAAUGUGUGUGGCAAGGGGUUUAAUCAACGGGUGCAAUACAGGUUCCACUGCGCAAGUCAUGUCAGCAUGUCAUUAGAGAAAUGUCUGUUUUGCAAGAAAGAAUUCUAAAAAGGCAUCAGAUGCAUGCAUCAACCCCCAAGCUACAAGUAUAAUGAAUGCGCUAAGCAAUUUAAAUGGAGAUAGAGCCUUAAGGUUCACAACAUAAGUGCACAUUCAUAAACAUUUUUAUUUGGACUGCUUUUGAUACAAGAGUAUAAAUAAACUUAUGUAAUAUUUUGUCAUACGUUUCCAUGGAUACAGACAUAUGUAUGCUAUAUCAUUACAUCUUUUCGUUAUUGA